CUUCCUCAUUUAGGUUUAGUCAUUUGUCAAAGUAUGGCGACUGUGCGUUUCACCCUCUCUAUUCUACUAACUCUCCUCCAUCAAGCAGAGCCCAGUGCUGAGACCUCUGUGUUUAUUUCAGAGCCCAGUGCUGAGACCUCUGUGUUUGUGCUGAAGGGACAGGAUGUUCUCCUGAAUGUCCAGACAAAUGUUCAACUGAAAGAUGUUGAUGUGCUAUUUUGGAAGUUUAACACAUCAACCAAUGUUAUAAAGUACCCCCCAAAAGUUACCUUUGAAAGGUACCGAGGUAGGGCUGAAUUUAGUGAGGGAGACUUAUGUCUGCUACUGAAGAACCUCCAGGAAGGAGACAGUGGACUUUAUGAUGCAGUAGUGAGUGGUAACAAUGACAAACGUUGCUACAUACUUGAUAAAAGUCCAAGGUGACAAAGAGGAAAUUAUAAACAGAGUAUGCUACAGUCAGGACUCCAGGUAACAGUCAUGUAGGUGGUGAAGAGCAGGAAUCUACAGGUCCAGCAUCACCCUCCAUCUACAGUAUGGUGGGACUACCCCAACCCCAGCCUGUUAACCACCAGCCUUUGCCUGUGGACCUCCCCAUGGCCACCAUGACCUCCAUGCCUGAGAGUUUAUAUGCUGUGGUGGGGGAAAGACUAGCCAACAAUAAUAAUGAAUUUUAACAUUAUUCUAGGCUGGGAUUAACUCCGAUUUUAUUAGAUUGCCCUUUGUUGGCUAAGCAUCUUUUUAAAGCCAAUGUUCCUGCAUUCUCUGAGACAGCUUGCACAAUAAAUGCUGCAUAUGCUAGCUAAAUCGGAAAUGAUCUGUAAAUGGUGCCUAGAUGCAGUGGUGACCCAUCAUUCAGGGCAGGUGUUUUGAGCCCAACAUUUUUAGCAAUGGGCUUGCCUGUUUUGCAUGUUAUUUUGGCAUUAAUACGUGUCACAUAUCAGUUUGCAAACAAUGUAAAAAAAUAAAUAAAUAUC